CGGCGACUGCAGCGUGGUGCGCGGGCCGAUGGCGCUCUCCAGCAGCUUCAGCGCGAGUUCCAGGGUCGCAUCCUGGCUCGCCUG
rnacentral:tRNA from 1 species